GAUGAACGCUAGCGGGAGGCCUAACACAUGCAAGCCGAGCGGUAGAGUUUCUUCGGAAACUUGAGAGCGGCGCACGGGUGCGUAACACGUGUGCAACCUACCUUUAUCUGGGGGAUAGCCUUUCGAAAGGAAGAUUAAUACCCCAUAAUAUAAUGAUUGGCAUCAAUUAUUAUUGAAAACUCCGGUGGAUAGAGAUGGGCACGCGCAAGAUUAGAUAGUUGGUGAGGUAACGGCUCACCAAGUCAAUGAUCUUUAGGGGUCCUGAGAGGGAGAUCCCCAACACUGGUACUGAGACACGGACCAGACUCCUACGGGAGGAAGCAGUGAGGAAUAUUGGACAAUGGGUGAGAGCCUGAUCCAGCCAUCCCGCGUGAAGGAUGACGGUCCUAUGGAUUGUAAACUUCUUUUGUACAGGGAUAAACCUACCCUCGUGAGGGUAGCUGAAGGUACUGUACGAAUAAGCACCGGCUAACUCCGUG
rnacentral:rRNA from 1 species